UAAAAUUGCAAAAGAAUACGCUAGAUCAGUGUUUUUCAAUCUUUUUGAUUUCGCGACCCCUUUACAGGUUGAAAUAUUCUGGCGACCCCCUUCUGUCAUAAUAAGUCAAAGAAAUAAUUUAAUUUUAAAAAAGGUAAUAAGUUUUUCCUAUUUUGGCAAAUUUAUCUCUUAUUCGCGCGGGUCAUACUGCGUCGGCGACGGCGACGUUGCCACACCGCAGUGCAUGAUUGUCGAUGCGGUAACAGCAAACGCCCUGCGCGAGUUACCAGUUUUGUGUAGGUGCUUCUUCCUUUAUUCAAAUAAAAUCUAGAAAUGCAGUGCUGUUGCUUCUGUUUCGGAUCAAAGUUCACGCUCGAAUGAAUUAGAAAAAUAGACGCUUCGCGAUUCUCUCUAAAAAAAUACCUGCUUCGCGAUUCUUUCUAAAAAAAUAGAUGCUUAGUGAUUCUCUCUUCUCUUCUCUUAAACUCUCAGCAUCUGUACAAAUAGGGUAGAGAAGGUACUCGCGCGCCACCCGCAAUGUUCUUUUGUUUCAACUCUCAUCACUCAGUUAAGCGUAGUCGCCGAUGAGUUCAGACGUCAUUUUUUUUGUUUUUUCGCUUGCUCUGCGCGAAUUAAAUGGAUAAAUUUCUCAAAAGAUCGCAGCCUUCAACUUCUGGUACGAGUAUCAAUAGCGGUGGUGGUGAAUCGAAUCCGAAAAAAAAUAGACAUUACGAUGACAGUUAUUUGAAAUACGGGUUCACAGUCAUAAAUAAUAAACCUCAAUGUGUAAUUUGCAGCGAUGUUUUAUCACGUGAGAGUAUGAAACCGUCAAAGCUUAUGCGACAUCUCUCAAACAAGCAUCAAAAAGAAGCUGAUAAGCCGUUGGAUUUCUUUGAACGAAAGUUGAAAGCUCUUAGUCAGAAGCAAAAUACUAUAAUUCAGGCAUCCAGUGUGAACGAGUCAACAUUAUUAGCUAGCUACAUAGUCGCAUAUCGACUAACCACAUACAAUUGCCGAAAAUCUUAUUUUGCCAGUGGCACUCGAUAUGGUUGAAAUUAUGAAUAAACGAUAUGGCCAAGGAUAUUCAAGUAGUCGAUAAAUUAAAGAAUAGCCAACAUUUUGCUUUGCAGUUCGAUGAAUCUACAGAUGUUUCCGACUGUGCACAGUUUGUAGUGUUUGUGCGUUUUGAGGCAGAUGACAGUAUUACGGAAGAAAUCUUAUUUUGCAAAGCACUUCCUGCAAACACUACUGGCCAGUGUUUGUACGAUAUGUUUUUAGAAAGCACUUGCGACUACGAUAUUGAUUGGAAAAAAUGUAUCGCUAUUUGUAGCGAUGGCGCUAAAGCUAUGACUGGCAAAAAUAGCGGACUCAUUGCAAAAUUAAAAUCGAUAAUACCAAACAUAUCCUGGACACACUGUUUUCUUCAUCGACAAGCUCUAGCUGCUAAGGUAGUACCUUCUGAUUUAAAUGACGUGCUCAAGGAGGUAAUAAAAAUUGUGAAUUCUAUCAAAGGUAAAGCUUUGCAAACCCGGCUAUUCAGAAUCGUUUGUGAAGAUAUGGGCUCGCUUCAUCAAAAUCUCCUUUAUCACACAGAGGUCAGGUGGCUAUCCAAAGGAAAGGUAUUGACAAGAGUUCUGGAACUGAGAGCUGAAUUGUUAAUGUUCUUACAAAAUGCAAAAUCAGAAUAUGCUUACCGUUUUUCUGGCCCUAUUUGGCUCUUGAAAUUAGCAUUUUUGGCAGAUAGUUUUAGCCACCUUAACAAUUUGAACAAGAACCUUCAAGGAAGAUAAGAAAUUUUAACAGCUAAAGAUAAAGUAAAAGCAUUUCACGCAAAACUUCGUUUGUGGUCGACCUCUCUGCAAAACAAAAUGUUUGAGUCUUUUCCGUGUAUUCAGAAGAUUGUUGAAGAUAAUGCAUCAGACCAAAGUUUUGCAGUAUCGGCUCAUAUCCCUUGCAUGAUACAAAGCUUGCAUAAUUUACAAGAGAAACUUUUGACAUACUUUCCAGACUUGCACUCUGAAGCUGACAAUGGGCGUAGAUGGAUCUUAAACCCUUUUUUUGAACAAAUCAAUAGAUCUGGCUGAUGUCAACACGAAAUGAAAGAAUGUCUUCUAGAAUUAGCUGCUAAUGGCAUGCUAAAAAUGGAAUUUUAUUCGCAAAGUGUCGACGUAUUUUGGAUGAAAAGAAAACACGAAUAUCCAGAGCUGGCAAGGGAAGCUCUUAAAUUAUUAGUGCCAUUCGCCACUUCAUACUUGUGUGAACUGACAUUUAGACUGGUAGACAAAAACUAAAAAGAGAAAUAGACUGCAAUUAGAAAAUGAUUUAAUUAUUAAUGUUUCAAAAAUAACACCACAAUUUGAUAAACUAAUGAAAAAUAAACAAGUACAUCUUUCUCAUUAAAAUUGUGUUUUUGUUGUGUAAGAACCUCGACUUUUUCUUUCAGCUGGCGACCCCCCGAGUAAGGGUUCACGACCCCCUUAGGGGUCGCGACCCACAGAUAGAAAAACACUGCGCUAGAUCAUUGUUUGAAUAUUUUCUUCCACAAAAUUAUCAUCGCUUUCUAUGGCGCUAGCAGUUAUAUUGGUUGGGUCUGAAAUGUUCUGUUCCAAAAUAUCAUCUGUUAUAAAUCCGGAUG